rnacentral:piRNA from 1 species
UGAUGAAUGCCCUGAGGAGACUGAUGU